GAGAAGAGGCACCGAAGCAUCAACCAUCUUGGAACUCUGCCAACUAGAACCUCAGACUCAACUGACACAUCCAAACUAAUGGCCGAGUGUCUCUUUUAGCAGCAUCAAGCAACUCCCUUACAAUACCACCCAAACCACUGAGACAAGUGAAGUGACCUGUCAACACUGUGGACUGAAUAACCAGGGAAGGCUGAGGAAUGCAAGUGAAUGUAAAAACCACCUGGAGGGAAGCAUUGCAGCAAGAAAGGAACAGCAAGUGCAGAGGCCUGAGGCAGAACCAGCGGGGAAAAUGCUUUGAGGUGAGGCAGGCUCCAUGAAAACCUGUAUGAAACAUUCCUGAGGACCAUCCAACACCAUUUCCCUGAGAGACAAGCUGUAAGUGCUGUUGUAGUUACAGAUCCAAGUCCCUGGUACAUUGAUAUCAAGUAAGGGCGCCUGCAGCUCAGAAGGCAGUUUCCAUUACACUGGACAAGAGUGUGGCUGCCUGAGUCCUAGAAUUGCAGUGGCUUCUGCUGACAAUGUGAGGAGCAGCUGCCCUGUCCAGAGUGUGGCCCUGCGUGCUGCCCCCUCCCCUGGAGGGACUGCAGAGAACAGCUUGGAGCGUGCCCUUCCCUUUCCCUUAUCUCACCCGCUAUGCUAACGCUGCUUAUCCCUCAAGAUCCCAGUUGUUCCUCCUCAAUUCAACACAAACUAAUCAACUGC